UUUAUUCUUUCUUCUGCAAGAAUGUUGCUUGGAACCUUGUAAAGAGUUUACCGUCCGUUAUUUUCUCUAAAAUCAUUCUUAAAACAUUUUAAAGUGAAUAAAAAUAUAGAUAUAGCUUUGGUGCCCUAUUUAGGCCACCUUAAUUUUCAUAGUUCCUUGCCCUUUUGGAAUUCUUCCAAUAUAUUUUUACGUUAUCUUGUUUGUCGAAGCUACAUUUCUUGUUAUUCUUUUGCAUUGUAUAAUCUCUAGAGUAUGUAAAAUCUAAAAGUUCGUGGAAAUUCUAGGAACAAAAAAGGUGGCCGAAAUUGCAAGCUGGCCGGAAUUUGGCACACUUACCCUAUUCAAUGUGAGCUUUCGCACAGAAUUGUGAAAAUUUAUGCAUAAAUAAAUAAAAAGAGAUAUUGUGAUAAGACAGGAGCAUGAUGAUCUUCCUUGCCCUAAUUUUCCACAGAAAAUUAGUAUGACUUUUCUUACAGAAUUAACAAGAAGUCAAAAUAUAUUUUCUUUCUCACAUGAAAACUACCUUUGAAUGUUUAUUCUUUUGGGGAAACUACGGCUCUGUUCAUUCUGAUUCUAAGAAUUUCAAGGAAGAAAAGUCGAAGUGACAUUUUAUCUCGACAUUUUAUUUUUCCAUACAUUUUUGCAUAAAUGCACUACUGAAGACUAAUGGCAAGUUUUUCCCUAAAGAGAAUUGACUUAUCAGUCUGAUAUAUUUCCAAAUCGUGCAUUAAAAGCUAUCUAGAAAUACAUAUUUUAUAAUGUUUGCCGAAAUAAUACAAGAACUACGAGCAAAUUUGUUUAAGUCGCGGUGCAAUAAUUGCAAAAUUUUUAGAAGGACAACUGAAAAAUUACUUCACUUUUUAUUAGGCUUGAUGGGCCCCUGGAAAUGGAUUUUCAGAAAAAAUGAAGUAUGAUAUAAAAAUUCCGGAAAAAAUAUUUUUGGUCAUUUAUCUGUCAAUUGUGAUAAGUAUGAUCAGUGAAAAUACAAAAUAAUUAGUAACAAUUUCAAAAUGAAAUGUUCAGACUUUUCUAAAAUCUUUCUUCUAAAAGCUUGCAAUUUGCAUUCAAUUUUUUUUCUGUGAUCAUUAUCUUAUUUAUGAUUAAAAAUGAUUUUAUAGUAUAUAUUUCAUGGAAAUGCUCAAAAAUGCAUCCGGAACAAUUUUUAGAUGAAGUUAAAUUUCUUGAAAUCGAAAUUUCAAUCUUUAAAUUUCUCAAAAGUAUUGCUAUCCUACUCUUUCACACACAAAUCUAAAUUGAAUUUUUUGUGACGUUUAAAAGAAGAAGAGGAAGAAGAAUGCGAAAGAGUAGGAUAGAUAUAUGAAAUUCGAGAUAAAAGGGAUAGUAAUUUUGAUUUAAUAAAAUUUUGGCAAUCUAAAAGGUGUGACAGAGACAUAAAAUUGGACUUCUUAUCAAUUUUACCUUUUUUUGGAUUCCACUCUCCUUUUAGAUCAGGGGGUAAAUUCUGUAACUUUAUGAGAACGUGAGAAGUGCUAAAAAUGAGAAAAUACCGAAAUUUGUCACUUAAGUGUGAUUCUCCAUGCCCAUUUUUGUGACAUUUCUCACGAUAUUUUCGUGACACUUCUCAUAGAAUGAUGGUCCAGUGACGGAGAACAAAGUGGUCGAUUUUUUCGUGAGUGUCACUGGUGACCAACUCACGAAAAUGAGAGAAUUUACCCCCCAGGAAAAGAUUUACGUAAUCAAAAUCACAUCAUUUUUAUUUUCAAACGUUUUGAAUAUCUCUAGUCUGCUCUAUAGCUCUCUAAAUCGGAGUAAACUACAGUAGACUCUCGCUCAAUCGGCUCUUUUUCAAUCGGGCGAAAAAUUUUCUUGACAAUUUUCACGUUUAAUUAUGAAGCUAAUAUGUUCAAAUUCGCUGUAGUUCUUUCUAUUUUAUCGUGAUUCUUUAUAAUUGAGCACUUUUUGUGGAAUUUACAAAGGCUUUGACGCCCAAAUCUAUCGAUAAACCGGAUGACAUUUCGCCCCAUAUUCCCGAUUGAGAGAGAGUCUACUGUAUAUUGAAUUUUUGUGGCGUUUAAAAGAAGAAGAAGAAGAAUAUAAAAGGGUCUGAGAGAUAUAAAUGUAAAACGUUUGAGAAAGAAUUUAGAUUUCAGGAAAUUUUCCUGAUAAAUUACUUCUUAUUGCCCCCCCCCCCGCAGGAAAAUUUCACGAAAUCAAAAUUCACAUUCCAAGCUAAAUUGAAUUUGUUGUGAUGUUAAAAAAAAGAAGAAGAAUGCGAAAGAAUGAGAUAGGCUUAGGCAAAUCUUUUGAGAAAGAAAGAAAUUUGAAUUUCGAUUUCAUGAAAUUUUCCUGAUCUAAAAGGUGUGUUCCGGGGAACCAUAUUUGGAAUUCUAUUAAUUGGAUAUAAGUUUAAGUUGAUAAGCCCCUGGGUUUGGGCACAUAAUGUGGUGGAUAAAUUGUACAUGGUGAUCAUGAUGUGGUAUAAAUGUAGCAUAAAUUCAAACAUAUCACAACUACAUUAUCAGAUGCUGGAGAAUUUUCUCUGAAGAGAUGUGUCGAUGUGUGUUUGCGGGACUGGUUGAAUCAUUGGGCACGUUUGUUGUUUGUAAUGAUGGCUAAAGAGUGAGAAUACAGAGAGAUUCAAAUGGACUGAAUUGGAAUUCCUUCAUCCAGCCCAAGCUAGAAUUUGUAGUUGAUAGUGCUAGUGCAGAGAGAGAGAACAUAAAAUGCCCUCUGUGAUACCAUGUGAGAUAUGUUGCGAGAGUAGUUUGUCUCUAUUGUAUGAUGAUGGUAGGGAUAUGGUAUGGAAAAAAAAUGGUAUAUAUUGUAUAUAAUAGAGAAGAAAAUAAUACAAAAUCAAAGAGUAUUAAAUUCUUUUUUCUCAAUAAAUCCAAUGAACUUUUCGCUCUCAAACUCACUGACUGUGUGUGCAUUAUUUUGAUUUAAGAGCACGAUGUUGUAAAUAUCAUGGGCACAAGAGAUUAGAGAUGAAAAUUAGUUGUAUACUCACCUACCCUCCUUUUUUUCACUCUCGUUUGUGAUCUAUUUCAUUUUAAUGAUCAACUACAUUGUGCAACAUUAUUGUGUUGCACUAUUGAGAAUCGUGCAAAAGUGACCGAGAUGCACAAUCAGGGGAAAUUUUCCGAGAGACAAACAUUACAAUACUACAAAUUGUUCAAUUGAUUGUCUGGGGUUUUUGUUAGAGAGAUCACAAUAAGGGGCGAUAUUGCUGUAUAUAGGCUACCUAGAAAAAAUAAAAAAAAGAAGAAAAAAAUUAUUAAAAGAACAUAGUAAGAAGUUGUGUAAAAGACGCAAUUCCAUUUAGUUGGAAUUUUGUGGAUGGAGAAAUAUCUCGAUACUUGUUUAGUUAAUUUUCAAAUAUAUAUGUAUCUAAUUUUAGUCCAAAAUCGGAGACUUAUGUCUGCGUGUUUGGCCUCAAUAAGCAAAUGACGAUCACUCUUCUAAUGCGAUCUCCAGUUGUAUUUGUCACUCUCUGGGUGAGACAUUGAGAAAAUUUGAUAAACACUUUGCUUUUUGCUCGAUCAACAGCAAAAUUAACAAGAUCACGAGCAAUUUGCUCAAUCAUUAAUAUCAUUGAGCUUUUAUCUCCCACCCAUACGAUCACUGAUCAAUUGAGACAUUGUGUUCUGCACUGAUCGUUGAUUCCAUUGAUUCUAUAACCAUUUUAUUCUUCUCUCUUCUUAUGAUAAAAGAAUUUCUGAAAAAAAAUUUUUAAAAAAAAUUGCCAAGAAUAUUUUCUGUCGCGACAGAAACUGACAUGUCUUUUUUAAAUUAUUCAACAUAUUUUAUGCUAAAUAGUGUGAUCUUUUAGGAGAGAGUCUGAUCCACGCUGAGCAUUAAACAUUCCAAUUGUGAGUUGUGUUGGUUUGACUUGAAUGUGGCUCUAAGGCGAAUGAGAUUGUUUUACUGAAGAAUAAAACCAUGGCUCACCUUAGUGGGAGGUGGGAUCAAUUAAUUAAUCACACAUGGCAAAAUACUUUUUUUUUGGUCUGCAGCAGAAAUUCACUCAUUUAAAUUAAUGUGCGUGAAAUUUAGACACAAGUCGAUCACAGACAAAUCCCGCAGAUGAAUUUUUUUGCGUUGCUGUUUUUUGGAGUAAAUGUUUGGCGAAAUGGAAAAGACUUUGCUGAAUGCUCGGUAGCAAAGAGAUCGAUACUUGACUCUUAAUUGAAAUGGGAUAAGUAGUUAUUUUGUAAAGAAAAAAUUAAAAGAUCUAGCAUAGAAAUCAUCGGUUCGGGCAUUGAACAAUGUAUUACCGAUUUGCUAUACACGGUAAAAAAUUUCAGCACAUAUUUGUUCCAAAAAUUAGCUCGUCCACGGACACCAUAAUUUUUGGAACAAAUUUGCACCUUCUAGGAGGAACAAAAAGAUACCCAAUAUUAGUAACGAAUUUGUUCCAAAAUGUAGCUCGUCCACGGACACCGAAAAUUUCCGGAAUAAAUUUGUACCUUCUAGGAGAAAAAAAAGAUAUCCAAUAUUAGUAACGAAUUUGUUCCAAUAAAUAGCUCGUCUAGUAUAAAAUUGUAUCCCUCCUCCUCUCGCACUCAGUCACCUGUCAUCGAAGCGAAGAGGACGCCAAAUCUGUGGCAAUUUUCGUGCUACAUGGCUUCACUUUUUUAAUUCGAGAUUCCCUUCCCCUCUUGCUGCCAGCACUCGCAUAUGAUUUCGUCAUGCACACGUCUGUAUGAAACAUUUUUAAGUUGAUUUUUAUUUGAUGUUCCUUAUGAACUUUCUUCACCGAAAUCCAUCUCGACUGAAGUAUAGGCCUUCACUGUAAGACGAAAUCUUUUACACGAAAUUGUUCCCGGGAACAAAAAGAUUCCCCAUAUGAGUAACAAUUUUGUUCCAAAAAUUACCUCGUCUACGGACACCGAAAAUUUUUGGAACAAAUAUGUUACAGAUGUAGGAAUAAUAUUGUUAUAAAGAAAUGUGCCAAUUUGUUCCUGACACUGGCAACAAAACAGCCGAGUGCAACAAAUUCUAUUCCAACUUUCAGGAACAAAUUUGUAUAAAACAAAAUUAACUCAAAUUUGUAGACAUUACACCGUAUCGAAACGGUCCCAAAAGAAAACUCUAACAAAAUUGUAACUAUAUUUCGUAAUAAAACUGUAAAGAAAACUUUCUUGAACAAACAAAUAUCUUCUCUAGGUACAAAUUGAUUUCAAAAAAAAAAUUGUUCCAAGGAAAACUUGUUCCAAUAUUUUGGUUAGUGUCCAAAAGUUUUUACCGUGUAGUCUCAUUAUUUUUGCACAAGACGUUAGACUUCCAACGAAAAUUAGGAAUGCAAAGACCUUUCAAACAAACCUAAAUUUAUCCCAAUCGGUUAAGAAAUGCACUCUGCAAAGCUAUUUUAGUGUCAAAAAAUGAAAAAAAAUUGUAUUGUAGACUGAAAUGUCAAAAUUCCGCUGAAAAGACAUUUUUUUGACAAAUGGCUGCCAGUGUGUAGAAACCUUUAUGAGCAUGAUCGCAAUGACAGCAUGACUUGUCACAAGGAGUUCCGCUUUCAAAGAAAUUCUCGGGAUCGAAGAAAGCCCGCGAAUUCACUCCAGUGACACAGAAAUAUGCAAAAGAAAAUUUGCAUACCCACAGGAGAGGUCUUUGAAAUAAGUUACGGAAAUGCAGUGAUGUAUGCAAAACAUUUUCAGCCUAUUUUCAGCGCCAACGGUUCAUAAGAAAUGUAUUUCAUGCCUAUCUCUCGCGUUUUGCUCGAAAACUGACCGAAUCACAAUUGGCACCCAUGGAAAGUUGCUCGAAUGGCCUGUAAUACGAUUCAGAAAACAAUUAAUACAUUCAUUCAUUCAUUUUCAACCGCUUAUCCCUAUUGGGGUCGCUGAGCUCGCAAUAGUAGGCAAUUCAUAUCAAAUUCUUUCAAUUCUUUUUUUUUCACUCAAGGCGGAACUCCCUGUCAUUUUCAAAAUAUUUCUAAAAAUAUGAUUAAGUCGCUAUCCGACGCUGCUUAGCCUUUUAAAUCAACUACCUAAUCAAUGGAUAAUCCGAAAAAUCGAUCAAUUACAUAAUACUGCUCUCACUCUAAGAUCGAGCAAUAAAAGCGAACUUUUUUAGGAGUGAUUUAUUAGAAUGAGAAGAAUUCUAACGAGUGAUUUUUUUUUUGGAGGCAAUCUCCUGAAUGAGUUUUUUUUUUGCUUAUUUGUGUUCUUGAAGCAUGGGAUUUGGUUUGUGCAUCUCAAUGCUGGUGGGAAGUAAAAAGGGCUGAAAUUUAAAUGUUCUGCAUGACAAAUUUUCACUCGUUUCACAUGACUUCAGUUUAGAUCAACGUCGUCAUUGACGAGAAUUCUGUGUGGGCCUCAGAAUAUACAACAAAGAAUUCUCCAUCAUUGGAACGAGGAGAUAGAGCAGGAAAACAGAACAACUCAAAGCUAAAAUAAAAUAGAAAAUUGUUUGAAAAUAGAGAAAAAAAAAGUAUCUGUGGGAUUGGAAAAAUGUCUUUUCCCUAUCAAUCCUGAGGGUGUAUUGGGUGCGGAAGGCUCACAUUGCAUCCAUUUAAUCAAUUAGACAAUUUUUGUGAAUUAAAUAGAAGAGUGAUGUUGUGCAAUUAAAAUUAGAAGCAUCACAUCAUCGUUAUUGACUCCACCCAGUUAAUGAAAAGAUUCUCGAGAGAAAGAGAGAAUUUCAAUUGCUUUUAUCAUUUUCAAUUCAUUUGCGAUCAUUCUGAAGUCUCUAUCUUGGAGAUUUUUGUUGUAGGAAGUGGAGCAGUAUUUGAUGAAAAACAGAAGGAAAAGGUUCUUAUAUUGAUCAUUUUCUAAUGUGGAUUUUCUGCGAUCUUCAGCUGAUCUUGAGUGAUCUUCAUGUUGGAAAUAAUCAUAUAAUUUCAUUGUUAUUCUCUCUAGACGCAUUAAGUCAAUUUUCUUCAAAAAAAUGUUUUCACACAAUUUCUCUGAAUUUUUUCCACGAUCUUGGUACGAUCAUUGCCUUUGAAUAAAAGUUAUGGCGAAAUAGCGUAUUAAAGGAGUGUGAUGUCAAUGUUAAUUGUGUGGGAUGUCUCAUUGCCUAUUUUGUACACAAAAGUCAUUUGUUUUUGUUCUUUUCCCCAUCUUAAGAGACACACUCAAUACUAUUUGAUGUAGGCUUUGUGGUGAUUUGUACCUCAGAAUUGUCGUUGGUUUCAUCACUAACCAAGACACUCAUGAAUUUCUCAAGAGGGAUGGCCACAAGUGAAUAGGCGACAACCGAGAAAAAAAGCGAUAUUACAUUCUCCAGUAAAAAUACAAAAUAAAUUUAAAUAUGUGGGAAGUUGAACAGGUUCAUAUUUGGGUAGUUGGAAAAUAUUUCAAACCUCCAUGAGAUGGUGAGUGAGUGUUAUUUUUGCUUUUAGAGAGAUCGCAAGUAAAAUGUUAAAUAAUUCGAUUAACAGAUCAACAAAAGUGUUCAGAAAGAAAAUAAAGCAUCCCAGCUUUGCGGAAUGCUUGAAUGAAAAGUAUCGAAGUCAUGAAUUUGAGCAUGUCUGCUAUUUUUUAACCACAAAUUCAAUGAAUCGAAUGCAUACUUCUUAAGAAUUCCAAGACCUUUCAAACAAAUCCAAAUCUAUCUCUAUUGGUUAAUAAAUGCACUCUGGAAGGCUCUUUUAGUGUCAAAAA